ACUUUCUAAACUAAUCUCUGCUGUGAGAAUUUUUGUUAUAGGCCAAGCUGAACAAGCCCAACCAAUACCUCAAGGUUUCAAUACUGAUCUUUAUGAGAAAUUAAAGGCUUUGCAACGUUUCCAACACGAAGUGGAUCAAAUGGCCCAACAAGCACUUGCAUUUGAAGGACCCUAUGGACAACCAAGACAUGAUCCCUACCUUGACACAUACAAUUCAUCUUGGAUAGACCACCCAAACUUUGGCUAUGAUCGGACUGA
rnacentral:lncRNA from 1 species